GACGAACGCUGGCGGCGUGCCUAAUACAUGCAAGUCGAGCGCAGGAAACCGUUCUGAACCCUUCGGGGGGACGACGGUGGAAUGAGCGGCGGACGGGUGAGUAACACGUAAAGAACCUGCCCAUAGGUCUGGGAUAACCACGAGAAAUCGGGGCUAAUACCGGAUGUGUCAGCGGACCGCAUGGUCCGCUGAUGAAAGGCGCUCCGGCGUCGCCCAUGGAUGGCUUUGCGGUGCAUUAGCUAGUUGGUGGGUAACGGCCCACCAAGGCGACGAUGCAUAGCCGACCUGAGAGGGUGAUCGGCCACACUGGGACUGAGACACGGCCCAGACUCCUACGGGAGGCAGCAGUAGGGAAUCUUCCACAAUGGACGAAAGUCUGAUGGAGCAACGUCGCGUGAACGAUGAAGGCUUUCGGGUCGUAAAGUUCUGUUGUAAGGGAAGAACAAGUGCCGCAGGCAAUGGCGGCACCUUGACGGUACCUUGCGAGAAAGCCACGGCUAACUACGUGCCAGCAGCCGCAGUAA
rnacentral:rRNA from 1 species